AGAGCCUGUAGGUGUCGUUCAGGGCGAUGCCGUUCCGCUGGUGGCUCUGAUUGUGAUACCAGGCGAUGAAGCGGAUCGCGUCGCCGAAAUCCGACCGGCGCGCCGUCCAUCGGCCCGUCUCGGCCUGGUAGC
rnacentral:sRNA from 1 species